CUAUAAACUCCGGAUGGAUAACCUUUCCUCGUAGGGGACCGAAGAAGAAAGUGAUCAUGGGGAACGGCGAUCGCAAGUUGAGGGACGUUCACAAUGCACUCCUACAAUCGGACUUCAGAGGCCCUGUGACACCUACCCUGCUGGAACAGGAGUCACACACACGUGUGGGCAGCGUGCGUGCCAUCCGUGCGUGGGGGCGUGCAGCCUGCAGCCAUGUGGUGUGGGCUUGG